UUGCUUCAGCAGCAAAUAUAAUAAAAUUGGAGCAAUUCAGAGAAGAUUCACAUGACCCCUGUGAAAGGAUGAUGAGUGAAUUUGUGAAGUUUUCAUAUAUAUA
rnacentral:snRNA from 1 species